UACGUAGGGUGCAAGCGUUGUCCGGAAUUAUUGGGCGUAAAGAGCUCGUAGGCGGUUUGUUGCGUCGGCUGUGAAAUCCCGAGGCUCAACCUCGGGUCUGCAGUCGAUACGAGCAAACUAGAGUGUUGCAGGGGAGACUGGAAUUCCUGGUGUAGCGGUGAAAUGCGCAGAUAUCAGGAGGAACACCGGUGGCGAAGGCGGGUCUCUGGGCAACAACUGACGCUGAGGAGCGAAAGCCGUGGGGAGCGAACAGG
rnacentral:rRNA from 1 species